UACAGAGGGGGCAAGCGUUAUUCGGAAUUAUUGGGCGUAAAGGGCGCGUAGGCGGCCUUUCAAGUGACGGGUGAAAUCCCUCGGCUUAACCGAGGAACUGCCUGUCAGACUGGGAGGCUUGAGACCGGGAGAGGUGAGUGGAAUUCCCAGUGUAGCGGUGAAAUGCGUAGAUAUUGGGAGGAACACUAGUGGCGAAGGCGGCUCACUGGACCGGAACUGACGCUGAUGCGCGAAAGCGUGGGGAGCAAACAGG
rnacentral:rRNA from 1 species